rnacentral:tRNA from 1 species
AUUAAAGUGGCAGAAUUUAAUGCAAGGAAUUUAAGCUUCCUUUAUGGGUAACCCUUUAAUA